CUCCCCUCUCCAGGCAACCCUGAAACACCUUCCUGUGAGAUAGGAUUCAAACCAGUGAAGUGGAGCUCCUGUGAUGUCCAGUGAUGAGAGGAUAGACAGAAGGAUCUGAUGAUUCACCGUGUCAAAGGCAGCAGAAUGAGAACUGAUGAUUUGGAACUAGCCUUUGCAAUUCGCAAGGAUUCAGUAACCGACAGUAGUGCAGUCUCGGUCGAGUGGCCACUCUUGAAACCAGAUUGAUUGACAUCCAAUUGGUUGCUCUGUGAGAGAAAAGAUGACAACUGGUUGAAAACAACUCGUUCAAUUGUUUUUGCUAUGAAUGGUAGGAGAGAAACAGGUCUGUAGCUGUCUACAAGAGACGUGCUUAAUGUGGGUUUUUUGAGCAGUGGGGUUACCCGAGCCUGCUUGAAUGUGUUAGGGAAAGUACCAGUGUGGAGAGAUGUGUUGAUAAUGUGUGUAAGUGCUGGUAAAAGUGUAGGAGCGAUGGCUUGUAGAAGGUGUGAGGGGAUGGGAUCUAGAGGGCAGGUGGUGAGAUGACUGGAGAGGAGAAGUUUGGAUACUUCUGUCUCAGUGAGGGGAGAGAAUGAAGAAAGGAGGUGUGCGGCUGUGUGUGUGAUUGGUCUGAGUUCCUGUCUGUGUGGAGCAGAGAACUGACUGCUGAUGGUAGAUGUUUUGUCAGUGAAAAAAUUAGCAAAAUUAUCAGCAGUUAGGGAUGAUGUGGGUGGUGGUGGAGGGGGACAGAGGAGAGAGUUGAAUGUUUUGAAAAGUGUGCGUGUGUUUGAAGCGCUGUUGAUUUUGUUGUGGAAAUAGGUAGAUUUAGCAGCAUGAAUUCCAGCAGAAAAGGAUGAGAGCAGAGAUUGAUAGCAGCCUAGGUCAGAUUGGUCUUUUGAUUUGUGCCAUUUCCUCUCCGCAGCCCUGAGUUUGGUCCGAUGUUCACGAAGAACAUCGGAUAACCAGGGAUUAGAGGGAGUAGCACGUGCAGACCUGGAUGACAGAGGACAGAUACUAUCAAGAGAUGAAGUUAAGGUGGAACAUAAAGUGUCUGUUGCUUUAUUCACAUUCAAAGAUGAGAACUGUGUGGGUGAGGGAAGGGAGGAUGACACGACAGAGGAAAGAUGAGAAGAAGAAAGAGAGCGCAGGUUUCAUCUGAAGGUAACUGGUAGAGGGGUUGGUGGUGAACAAAUGGGGAGUUGUAGAUUAAAAGUAAUGAAGAAAUGAUCGGAAAUGUGCAGAGGUUUUACCAAGAUGUUGUCAGUGACGCAGUUGCGUGUGUAAAUGAGGUCAAGUUGGUUGCCAGAUUUGUGAGUACUUGUGGUGAUGAGCCGAUUAAGAUCGAAUGAGGCUACAAGAGAGAGGAAGUCUGAAGCAUAAGGCUUCUCUAGAUGAAUGUUGAAAUCGCCAAAAAGUACAAGUGGGCUACCAUCCUCUGGGAACGAGGACAGCAGCAUGUCCAGUUCCUCUACAAAUGUACCCAGUUGGCCUGGGGGGCGAUAAAUUAGUACGAUAUGAAUUUUGGCAGGAUUUGAGAUUGUAAUAGCAUGAAACUCAAAUGAAUUGUUGUUGCAAAGAGAGGAAUGAGUCGAGUAUUUCCAAUUGUCAGAAAUGAGAAGACCUGUGCCCCCACCCCUCCCAGACUGGCGAGGGGUAUGAGAGAAAGUGAAGUUGUUAGAGAGAGCAGCAGGGGUUGCUGAGUCCUCUGGACGAAUCCAGGUCUCAGUCAAUCCCAAGAUAUUGAGAGUAGAAUUAGUAGCAAAGGCUGGAAUGAAGUCAGCUUUGUUAACUGCUGACUGACAAUUCCAAAGACCCACAGAGACAGAGAGAGGAGUAUUAGUGUUAGAAGAGGAGUAAAUAGGGCGCAGGUUAGAAGCAUUGCGCUGCCUUUUACGUGGGUUAGUGGAGCGUUGCUGAGAGACAACAGGAAUGUGUUGAAAGCACAUGCUGAUGAUGAAGGAAAAGUGUGAAAGGAGGAAGAAAGUUAAGUGCCUACCGGUGUCGUUGCUCGGUAGAGUCGCGCAAGUAGAGUCGCGCAGGUAGAGUCGCGCAAGUAGAGUCGCGCAGGUAGAGUCGCGCAGGUAGAGUCGCGCAGGUAGAGUCGCGCAAGUAGAGUCGCGCAGGUAGAGUCGCAGGUCUUUACCCGAGUCGGUCUUCACACGAGGAGGCUGAACGCUCCCGCUGACGCUUCCGCGACAGCGCGCACACACACAAUAAAUAUACAGCUUAUUAACACGUGAUUAGAAGAGCUACGCCCGCCUUGCAAAUUAGCACUGCAAAAGCCUAAAGCCCGUGAAUGGCUGCGAAUCGAAACGAAACUCUGCUCAAUUACGAGCAAAUAACUCCAAUAAAGUCUGCAAACGCGCCUGUUAUUCUAAACAAGUGCAAUUAAAAUACAAUUAUAGUCAAGCUACAAAAUAGGACAAACAGAGAUACGAAUUUAAAUCCUUCCUAGUAGCAAAUAAUAAGCGAAGCAAAUGACCCACAACAGAUAUUAAGCAAAACACUUACGCGCUCCUGCCGUCACCACUGCCAACUCGCUACUCCUGCUCACUUCUAACUUACACGAGUUUAAAUAUACUUUUCCCUCGCCACGCCCGCCUUGCAAAUUAGCACUGCAAAAGCCUAAAGCCCCUUCAGUCAUGAUGAUCCAGAAACACUGAUGUUCUGCUGCGUGUUGCUUUAUUUAAACUGUAGUUGCGGAUGCAGUGAUUCAGCAGUCACAUUAGCUCAGGCAUGUGCUGUUAUCAGCUAAUGACUUACUGCAAGGGUUUUGUAUUUUAAAAAAAAGUUUCAUAAUUAUAAUCCAGGAAUUACCUGUAUAGAGCUUUUUUUUUUUUUUUUUUUUUUUU